rnacentral:lncRNA from 1 species
GGGUAUAUAGCCACACCUGCAGAGGGUUUCAGCCAGAGUGCUUGAGUGAUCCGGCCCGCCAAGUGGUCCUCCUCCUGCUCCUCGACUCCAAUACUCGUCCAGGUCCUCCUCGAAGAGCUCUCGCCAUGAGGGUCUUCUCCGUCGGGUUGGUGACGGCGAUGCUGCUGUGCGCCUGGAGCGAUGCCAGUGCCAGGAUAGCACCGAAGAGCAGGUUUAUUGGAUUUCGUCAG